UUUUGCAUAAUCCUCUUGCGUGUCAUUUACCUUACCUCUCUUUAAAUUGCAUCACAUUAACAACCUUUGAGUCUCUCCAGGACCUCUGGAAUUCCAAACAGACCUUUCCUCCAGCAGCCCCGCCGUGUUUGGGGCAGCUCCUGCAUCCCUGGGGCCAAGUUUCAAUGUCUUUCUCCUACUGUGCGAUCAAAAUUCUCUGCACAUCUUACGAGCCUGUUGAGUCUUCUCACUGAAGCCUGUGGAGCUGGGAAAGGAGUGAGUAAAGCGAAUGAUGAUGCUUUUCCCGCUGGCUGUGAAGACACGGCCCAAGGCUGCGCAGUCACACGGCUGAUGUCCCUGGAGGGCUCUUGUCCAGAGUAUCCAGGAAAUGCUUCAAACCUCGGGGGAACUUUUCCAGAAGACGAGCUUUGGGAAGCCCGUAAGGAAUCGUUUUGUUUUCCAUCAUUCUGGGGCUGACGCAGUCAACAAUAACGAAGUGAUGGCAGAGCCCCACCGCUGGUACCAAUUUCACGAAGGCACCGAGAGUGAAUCACGAUGCACAUUUUGAAUCAUAUCUGACUGGUGGCUCUGUUAUUCCGAGUGCCGUGCUA